UCACUUAAGAGGGAACCGGACAGUACGUUGGGGUCCUCCACUGUUUGGCAGUGUAGCGUCUCCCAAACGCGGUUAAAGACUUUUUGAAGUAAAGAAGAGCAUCUCAUCUGAACCUGAUGUCUAUCAUGGAUAUUUAACUGCAAUUCUGUGAGUAUCCCAAUUUAACCAUGAAGAUGAACUGCAAACUGUAAGUCAAAAGUUUCUCAUUACUCUUGGGCACAUUGAUGUAUUUUGGCUUCCUGGUGAGUUAACCCGUUACCAGAAGGUUGAUCUGAGUAGUAAGGAUGUUUUAUUGGUUCAUGGGUCACUUAGGAGUUUGGUUUAUGUUGGUUUUAAUGAUUUGUUGAAAUGGUUACGGGCUUCAAGUUAUUGUUGUAAGCUGGGGUAAUGGGUUGGGUUCUGACGUCUUCUGUCUUCUUUCCUUUACUUUCCUGAGCUCUGCAUCUUCAUCACAUGAGUGUUGCUUUACUGAUGAGGGUGUGGUCUGAGUGAGCGGAGGUGCAUACUGGGAUACAGAGCUGUCUGAAGUCUACAGGUCUGUAGACACGCCCCCUCAGGGGGAAACCGAGUGUUUGAGAAACCGUCGUGACGUCAGUUACAUGGACUAGAAUGUUCUUUAAGAUGGAGACAGGGAUUCAGAAGGAGAAACACCAGGGGGAGAUGAAGGGGCUCCUCAUCUCAACAGCUAAAACACAACUUCAGUCUGACACAGAGAUCCAUGGAACACAUUCAACAGUCCCCUCCAGACAUCGUGACUCCUCAGGAACAGUUUCAUUUCCAAGAAGGUCUAAAUUGGGGCCAUUACAAGAUGGAUCCUGCUCCUCAAGAGCCACCCCCCUCCACUGGCUGGUCUUCUGAACAGAUGACCUCCUUCCUGUCCUCAGGCUGACUAAAGCUGCACCGUUUGCAUCUGUGAAGGCCUCUCAUUCAGGAAACCACUGGACUACAAAGACAUGACUUCAGAGACGUUGAAUCAACCUGGGACACAUUUUGGAGACGCCAAGCAUAAUCCAUCACCAAUGUGGGACGCCACUGAAGAAUGUUGUACAUAAUUUACGUCUCUGGAGACAUUGGUUGUUCUGUUCUGGGUGCCCUGGCAGGAGAGCUGGGGUUGGAUGAUGGAAUGUUAUUUGGCAUGAGGUUUUUACCCUGCAUGAUUGUUUGGCCUUUUAUGGCUCAGUGGUGUGUGUUUGGGUUUGUUUUGAGAUGGAUGAUUUGAGUAUCGCUAUAGGGUUCUACUGUGUCUCCCCCUCACACCUGGCAUGGGGUUCUACGUGCGUGUGUCCGGCUUGCUUUGACAGUGAUAAUGUUCAUACAGGGGUCUGUGUGAUUGGCUUGGGAUAUUGGAAUGGUCAACUAAAUCAUACCUGAUGGACGGCCAACACCCUGGGCAGGAAGGAGAGUAUCCAACUCAAGUGUAAAAGGAUGCAAGCGGCGUGUUCAGAUCAGUGACUUCAAACUAGGACUACACCAAUCAGGAUCAAUGGAGGAUGGACACCUAAAGGAAUUCCAAAAGGAGAGUCUGAUGUUGGAAACGGACCUAAAUGGAUAGUCAAGAUAACCUUCAGACCUGUAAUGAGACGGCUCUUCCUACCUGGCUGGAUUGAUGGAGAGCCCUGUGGAUCUUGUCUUGCUCUCAGUUGCACGUCUUCUCAGGCUGAACUGUACUUGUUUCGGACAGGACUAGCUGAAAGAUUGGUUCCCUUAAAUCAGAACCAAUCUGGGAACUCCAACUAGUGCGCUCUUCGAGCUGAAGUUGUGCUCUUCAGCUGAGGAGGUAAGGAAACCUUCACUGGGGCUUCAAGGUGUAAAGAGGAGGAUGUUUCAAAGUGUUCCAUGGUAUUCUGAUGAAGACCGUUGUUGUGUUCCACUGGCUGAGAGGAAGAACCCUCACAUCUUCCUCCCGGCCUCUCCUCUGAAAAUCCUGGCGCCAUCUUGAAGGAUAUUCCAGCUCAUGUAACUGAUGUCAUGACAGAUUCUCAAACACUUGGUUUCUCCUGAGGGGCGUGUCUAUAGAACUGAAGACUUCAGAAAGCAUUGUAUCCCAGCAUGCAUCUAUGCUCACUUGGAUCACACCCCCAUGAGUAGGAUGCAACACUCCAGUGAUGGAGAUGUAGGGUUUUAUAAGUAACGAGGGAGCAGACAAAGGUGAUUGGAACACAAUGGCAUGUCAAGUCUGUAAAUCUUUAAACCAUGAAGAUGGUUGGAUAGUUCAGGAAUUGGGCUUCUUUUUAUUAUGGGUGGUCCUUUCACUCAGAUGCUCACUGGACCUGUACUUGUGUUAGCUGGCUGGCAUGAUUUGCUGUUGGUGAUGAGGCGGUCAGGGUGACGUUGCAGGGCUAUCGUCGGCUCUCUGUGAGCUCAACGUUUAGAUUUGCUCUGUAUGUUUUGUACCCAGAAUAAUCUAGAUAAUUGUAAAAUGUAGACACGGUUUUGUAUUGAAUUAUUUUAGGUUUAAAGUUGUUGUGGGACGUACAUGGUAGUUUGGUUCUUCGUCCGGUUUUGAGUGAUAUAACUUGUACACACUGGGUGCAUAAUAAUGUAAAGAUACACUGAAUAGUAGCAAUGACCAACAG